UUGCCCAUGUAAGCUGGCUGCAGAUCCAGUCACAAUUAUCUUCCAGCAACACAAGCUCCUGCAACACAACCAGCUAUGACUUCAUGGUGCAGAUGUGGGAGAGACCUAUGGAAGAGGAAGGGCUCUCACUGAGCCUGACAUACCUUUUCCACCUGCUCGUCCCACUGCUCAAAACCUCGCUGUCAUCUGCUAUCAAAGUCAGGGUUGUCCCCGAUACCCAUCCAGCUUCUUCCCAAACUCUGGGGUCAGUCACUAUGAUGUGGAACCGCCAUCAACCGUCUGGUGUCGUGGUACAGUUUGUGCUGCAGUGAACGGGUGGCACAGCAGAGCAUCCAGAUCAUCUGCUGUGCCGAACAAGCUUGGAAACGAGCCCUGUCCCAGUUCUGUGAGGAAGAGUAUGCCACUAAGACCAACCCACAUGUGAGCUGCAAGAACAGCCAAGACGCACAGUGCAUAUGCUUUGACAGCAAGCUGCCAAACCCGAACUACGAGCCAACACCAGGCUACACUGCACCCCCAAUCCCCGAGGAUCCAAAAUUCACCUUCAAUCCAAUUGCUUGCUGAAGGUGGUAAAAGAAAUAUGUACCGUAUAAAACCUACAGGUAAUAAAAUAAUUAUCUUGAAUAACUUUGGGGCGGUAGAUUGGAUAAAUGUGCUCAUCACCUACACCAGAAAAAAUGUACACGAUAAUGCUGAUCUUUGUCACAGAGCAGGACAGGGCAUGCUGGUUGUGUUAAUGCUGAGUAAGGAUAAUAACAGCUGAAGUCAGUUAUUAUUUUGACGGAUCUGUAUUUUAACCGUUUUGUUUCCUAAUUACAUUUCUCUG